CGGAGCGUUUAUGCUCGAGAACGAACCGCUACAUGUAGGAUGAGUGGUAGGAUAGUUGUUAGGUAGAGUUUCACGAGUUAAACGCUUCUUUUUUUGUUUCUCCUCCAGGUGGAUGCCUCGAAGGCACCAGGUUACCGUGGGAAUGCCAUAUCAUCGCCGGUCCGCUUCAAAGCAUAGAGCAACUAGACGACACCACCUUCCGGAAGUUCGCAUCUUAGUCUGCAGCAGCAGCAGUAGCAACAACCACAGUGUCAACUGAUUGGAGGACCUCGAACGAGAAGCAUUGGCCAUAUGCAGCCACAUAUGCAACAACAACACCAGCAGCAAUCUCAGUCAGGGACGUACCUGUCGCCAAAUGAGCAGAAGGUCAUCAUACCUCCACAGAAGUCGGGUCCACCGUCGAGCGGGCUAGCCGUACAACACCUCGUGCCCGCUCAAUCCGUGACGUCUUUUGGCUCCGUGACGACCACCAUCACCGGUACGACCUUGAGCCCGGCGGUGCAGCAAUAUUUGUUAGACAGUUAAAAAGCAAAUUUGAUUUAUUUAUUUAAAUGGUUUCCAUCAUAAAUUAAUCAAAUAAAUAAAUGAAUUAAAAACAAUAAACAACUGCCAAGGGCCCAGGCAACUUAAAUUAAAUUGAGCAUGCUUGUCGGGGCUGCUUUUGUCGCGGUAGGUACUUGAAACGCGAACAGAAUGGAAUCACCGUCGGGGUUUUGAGUCGAAACAAUUCCAUUCAACGUGAUUUUCGCAGGUGAAUCCAACUUCGUCUCGACUGGUCUUGGCGGCACUCGUUCCGAGGUUCUGGAUCAGUCGUGAAGCGCACACGUGGCACAAUCGAACGAAGGACGCGUCCCUGGUUGAUCUGAAAUAAACAAUAAUUUUCUGACUGUGUUUGUUUAAUAACUAUAAAACACUCACGGCAAACUGCGGGUUGAAGAAGCCCUCACCAACAGCGUUCCGGACGCACCGGAGAAAACUUUCCCCGCCGUCCUUGGGGACGUCACCCUCCGUAAA